UGAGCACCCUUACCUUUCACAACGCGGAUAUAGGUGAUAACUUUACUACCGAAACGCGACAGAACAUCUAAAAGUACUUCUUCAAACAGAAAUACUAGAAAACUAUCCGAAUUUUGACAACACACUACCGAUCUAAAGUCGUUCACCACUAAACUGACCGGCCGUCCAGCCAAUCAAGCCAAUAACAGUUCCGCAAGUGGUCCAUGCGCAGGUGCAAUACUUUUGUCCCUGCGUAGUACAGAUUACAGGUGUUAUUCAAAGCUAACUUCGCGUUGGAAGUUAAUAGGGGGAGUUUUAGAACAUGGAUAGUUUUACGUGUUAUUCUGAGAGCCUGUAUGCAACCUUUUACCGUAAUUAUGGCUUUAUUUAUAUUGAACUCCUUCUGGAUUCAAAUUAUUCGCGAAAAGCUCACUGGCAGCUAAAUUGUAAUUACACUUUAACUAGUAAAAUUUGACACUUAUUUUGAUUAGAUGUCGUUGUGAUUUGUUUGGUUUAGUUCUACUCAGCUUGUGCGAGCCUUUAAACAAAUAGAAACAUAUUGAAAAGUGUUUAACAAUGGCCAGUAAUGUUCAUAUAUAAAGACGAGUAAUGUUUACGUUUCGCAGCGCCCCCAUCGGUAGUUGAACUCGCAAAUUCCAUUCCAUCUUUCACCAGUGACACAGCUGGGCUAGUAAUGGGAAAAUUGAAUGAAUCGAUUAAGCAAAAAAUCGAAGUUUUCAAAUUUCCGGAGACGGAGAAGUUAUAUGGCCGGAUAUUCAUGUCGAAGAGAGAUGUAAACAAUAAGUUUUAUCGCAAAGUAUUAUUUCGUCGGCCGACGAAAGAGACAACAAAUUCAAUUUUGCUGAUAUCAAAGAGAAGAGAAUCAAUUCAAUUUAAAGGCGGGAGAGAAGGAUUGAAAAGUUAAAUAGGCUUUAACUGAUAUAAAGAGAGUUAGACUUAAGAAUAAGAUCUUAUUUUAGUGUUUUACUGAAGACUGGCAGAAGGGAUAUUUAAUACAAAAUAUAAAAAAUAAAAUAUUGUAGUGAUAUGCUUUAUGCCGCCCUAUUUGUAUACCGGAUGCCCACCGACGUAUCCAAAAAACCCCCUAUAUGAAUUCCGAAUAGAAAGUGUUAUUUUAAUUUUUCCUGAAUUAUCAACGGGUCAAAAAAAAAAAAAUUAUGAACGGACUUGGAAUUUAUGACGUAUUAGUAGAAUAGAUUUUUCAUAAAAAUAAAAACGCGAUGACUAAAUUAUUAUUAAAGCUGCUCAAAUGCAUAAUUUUAUCCUCCAUCGUUGUUCUCGUUCCCAGUGUUGUAUUCUUUCAUAUUGUUUAUAUCGAGUGGCGUGCGGUAAAAUUUUAAAGAAGGGAAGCAAUUUUUUAAUAUAUUUUACCUACCACCACUACUUACAGUAGUCAGUAGGACAAGACACGCUGCCUAUAAUCUAAGUAAGUUACAUUUUACGCAUUAUAAAUCAAACGCACAGUUCUGUUACGGUUAAUUUCUGUCUAACCGGCAUCUAAUUAUUCGUCAAAUCAUAUUGUUAAAUUAGUAAAUUGAACAUCAACUGUUGCUAAAUGCCUCUAUUAUAAAAUGUUAAACGAAACCUUAACACCCCGAAAUAUUAUACAAAUAGCAGAAAACCAGUACGAACUACUGCGUCAAAAAUAAGAAGUUGCUCAUUUGAAGUUCUUUUUUUGGAGAAUGUAUUGCUAACUUACUUUAAUUAGUACUUAGGUACUUAAUAAUAAUUAGCAUGUAACAUGAAAAACCUUCUCCGA